GUGCUUGCUUCGGCAGCACAUAUACUAAAAUUGGAACAAUACAGAGAUUAGCAUGGCCCCUGCGCAAGGAUGACACACAAAUUCGUGAAGUGUUCCAUAUUUUU
ensembl:snRNA U6 U6 spliceosomal RNA